UAAUACGGAGGAUGCGAGCGUUAUCCGGAUUUAUUGGGUUUAAAGGGUGCGUAGGCGGACUAAUUAGUCAGCGGUGAAAUUUUGCGGCUCAACCGUAAAACUGCCGUUGAAACUGUUAGUCUUGAGUGCGGUAGAGGUAGGCGGAAUGUGUGGUGUAGCGGUGAAAUGCUUAGAUAUCACACAGAACACCGAUUGCGUAGGCAGCUUACUGGAGCGCAACUGACGCUGAGGCACGAAAGCGUGGGGAUCGAACAGG
rnacentral:rRNA from 1 species